GGGCGUGUGGCUCAGUUGGUAGAGCGUUCGCUUAGCAUAUUUCACGAUUCCUGAUCGAAAGAUUGGGGGUUGAAAACGGAUAUGCGAAAGGUCCUGGGUUCGAUUCCCAGCUCGUCCA